CAGAGGGCACAAAUAGACAAGGGAAGUACGGACAAGAGAAUGCAAGAUACUUACAUGGACUACGUGGCAGAUAGGCCAACUGCUGGCAGAGAGAACCAGACUUAUCAAGAUCUACAACGUAGAGAAGAAGAAACAGCUUAUGUAAAUUUGAAGCCAGGAAAGAGAUAAGAAAGUAAAGAUAACAGUAGCUGAUUUGAGUGAAUGCUUGUUACUUGUGACAAGGAUCAUGAUAAUCCAUCGAAUUUAAUCAAUGAUGAUCGUACAACCACGAACCUCUCCAAGAAUUGUUUAGCUCUGUCCAGGUUAUCAAUUUUUUUUUUAAAUGUAGCAUGUCCAUAUUAUAGUCAUGCUGUGCCUAUAUGGUCAUGAUGUGAUGUCAUCAGACCAUAUUUAGGCAUAUCACAUAUGUUUUAUAAAAUAGAAUUUGUUAGUCUGGACAGGGCUUAAGUCCACGUAUCACAUCCAAUAUGAUACGUAACUCACUGGAUUCAUAUAUUUAAAAAGUUGGUAAAUGGCACCAUGAGUGUCGAUAGCAUGUUAGUCUAUAGUAUUACAACAAUACGGUAUUAAACACUAUGCUUAGAAAAGAUAGCAUAUGAUAAAGUUGACAGAGCACAGGUAAAGUUAGAAAGCGCUUUAAUAUACUUUUUAACAAUAAUCUUCCAUUUAUGAUUUUAACUUUGUGUCACUAGACAUACUCAUAUAUCGAACUUCGACAUUUAUAUAGCAGUAACUAAAUACAGUAGAUCACAUUGAAGAUAACCCCACUCCCUAAAAAACAUAGGGGCCUACACAGUUAAAAAUCUACAAAAACAAAAAUACAUGCUCCAAUGUUAUAAACAGCAGGUUAUAUAAUACUAUACUAAGAAGAUCAUUUAGGCUAUAGUGGUAAGCCAAGUAUACAGGAUUUCAAGCAUGAAAUAUGGAGUAAGCUUGUCGAUUCGAAUCUUAAUAAACACCUCAAUAACACUGAUAGGGUACGGUAACAAAUACUUGGUAUAUAAUACACUGUGUUAUCCUGAAUAAUCAUAUUUAGUAUUUUUGUAAAGGAUUAUGGCAAAAAGUUACUGUUAAAUAAAAUAUUACCGUACUA